rnacentral:rRNA from 1 species
UGGGGAAUCUUGCGCAAUGGGCGAAAGCCUGACGCAGCCAUGCCGCGUGAAUGAUGAAGGUCUUAGGAUUGUAAAAUUCUUUCACCGGGGACGAUAAUGACGGUACCCGGAGAAGAAGCCCCGGCUAACUUCGUGCCAGCAGCCGCGGUAAUACGAAGGGGGCUAGCGUUGCUCGGAAUUACUGGGCGUAAAGGGAGCGUAGGCGGACAUUUAAGUCAGGGGUGAAAUCCCGGGGCUCAACCUCGGAAUUGCCUUUGAUACUGGGUGUCUUGAGUGUGAGAGAGGUAUGUGGAACUCCGAGUGUAGAGGUGAAAUUCGUAGAUAUUCGGAAGAACACCAGUGGCGAAGGCGACAUACUGGCUCAUUACUGACGCUGAGGCUCGAAAGCGGCUGGGGAGCAAACAGGGAUUAGAUACCCUGGCUAGUCCACGCCGUAAACGAUGAUUGCUAGUUGUCGGGAUG